rnacentral:rRNA from 1 species
CGCGGUAAUACGAACCGUCCGAACGUUACUCGGAAUUACUGGGCUUAAAGGGUGCGUAGGCGGCUUUGCAAGUCGGAUGUGAAAUACCUCGGCUUAACCGAGGAACUGCAUUCGAAACUGUGAAGCUCGAGAGAGAUAGAGGUGAGCGGAACUUGGGGUGGAGCGGUGAAAUGCGUUGAUAUCCCAAGGAACACCGGAGGCGAAAGCGGCUCACUGGGUCUUUUCUGACGCUGAGGCACGAAAGCUAGGGGAGCAAACGGGAUUAGAUACCCCGGUAGUCCUAGCCCUAAACGAUGAGCACUAGACCGAGGGAUUCUCCAUGAUCUCUUGGUCGUAGGGAAACCGUUAA